CGUAUAUAGUAGGGGAAUUUUAUAUAAGGAUAUGGUUUUUACGAGUCAUAGGUAGGACUCAUAGGUAGAAAUUGCAUCCCAUAUUUGUAAUCCCUUUUUUAGAUGGAUUUCAAACCUAAUUUUUUUAGGUAUAUAUAAUAUCUGAAUGUCUAAAAAAAAGAAAUUUUAAAAACUUCUGGUUUAAAACCACCAAUAACACUAGAAGUUCCAGACCGCCCAUUUUAAUGAAUCAAAGUGGUCUAGAACAACUAGUUCUGAAUUGCACAUUACAGUCGUGAACUAAUGGUUCCAAACUGCACAAUCAAAAUGAUUAAGAACCUCAUAAUUUGGCAUAUAAGUGGAGUUUUCCCUAAAGGCCCAUACAUAUAUCACUCAAAUAAUAAAUCAAAGUAGUUUAGAACUACUAAUCUCAAAAUGUAGUAUCCGAAUGACCCAAACCAAGGGACAUUCUGGAAAAU
rnacentral:lncRNA from 1 species